CAAUCUCACAGCUCUUUCAGAAUUUGUUUUAGCAAGUUUUCUCUGGAAGACCAG
rnacentral:snRNA from 1 species